GCCCUCGUAGCUCAGUGGAUAGAGCACCGGUUUCCUAAACCGGGUGUCGCAGGUUCAAUUCCUGCCGAGGGUA
rnacentral:tRNA from 1 species